AUACUGCGCCUGAAAGGGGACAAUGGAGGCUGGAUAGAUCAACACUGCAGAAAUCGAGUUCAUUUGUGAUUCAGCCCCUUUCACUGCGGUUGUCAUGCAAACUUCCUACUUUGAUCAGCAGAGGGUGGAGAGGGAAAAAGCCCGCAAAGGCCCGGGCUGCGGCGCGGUCCGGCGCCCUUGGCGGCUCCACGCCCCCUUCCGGAAGGAGCCGCGGGGACGCCGCAUCCUGCACCUUGACCUGUCUAGACGGCCCCGAACGUUUUGUCUCCGUUACCAAGGGCGAGGGGUGCUCUUUGACCCGCGCCCGGGGCGGAGGUGGUGGCCAAAGGGUCCAGCUGAAUCCUCGCCGAAUUCCGGAGGGAGAGGGGCGCGCGGGGACGUGCACCAGCUGUUCCCAAAGAAAGCAGCCGAGGAGCCCGCCUGGGAGAUGGGGCGCCCGUCCGUGAGCCCCUUCCUCUCCCAGCCCCACGUCCACCCCAGCCCGGGCCAUCGCGCGGCUGCAGCGUGGGGGACGCGCAGCCAAGGGCAGCCCCGGGGAGGGCCAGACUUUGGGCCUCCCCAACUUCUCCCCGACUAAGGGGAUCUGAAGCCAGCUGAGCGCGCGCUCUCUCUCUCGCUCUCUCUCCCUCCCUCUCUCUGUCUCUCCCUCCUUUCCCUCUCUCUGUCUCUCUCCCCCUCCUCUCUCUCUCCUCUCUCUGUCUGACAAGUAGAUGGAUAAUAACUGCCAUUUUCUAUGCGUCAUGCUUUUUGCUACAUGCUCAGUGAUUUCUAAACAUGAUUCUAUGUAGAGGUAUAGUUUCUAGUUUGAAUGUAUUUUUUUUCUGGCCACUUUGAAAUAUAUGCACUUUUAAAAAACUGGAAUUUACGCUAGCCCCGUAAUGAUGUAAAGCAGGUCGUUGUUACAUUGUAAUAACAAUCUGCGGUACCGUCUUCUGGGCCCGUGCUAGGGAAGUGGCACACGUUUGCAUUCAGGGAGAGUGUGGCGUUUCCAUGUGGACUCGCCGGAAGGUCUUUGAAGUAACAUUAACAUUAAGACAAGUUUCCUCGCCCUGUCUUUCUUCUUAGAUCCCCCUAGCUCAGUCGGAGGCGUUCCUAACGGAUCUUUUGGAGAAAGUCUGUGAGCGAAUGAACGACUACAAGCUUGAGGAAGACCCUGUGACGAAGGAGAGAACUUUCAAGAGAUUCGCUCCUAGGAAAGGAGACAAAAUAUACCAAGAAUUUAAAAAAUUGUAUUUUUAUUCUGAUGCUUACAGACCUUUGAAAUUUGCGUGUGAAACUAUAAUAGAAGAGUAUGAAGAUGAAAUAUCCUCACUUAUCGCCCAGGAGACACACUAUCUAGCUGACAAGCUGUGCAGUGAAAAAUCAGGUACUGUGUCUGAUGUAACAUGUGCUCGCUGCUCGCACACCCUCUCUCUCUCACUCAGCCUUGCAGCGUCUUGUUUGCAGACCGAGCCUCGCUGCCUCUGCGAUCCACGGCUCUGACACAGGAUCCCCCGUCUCCGCUGAAUCAGAAACGACAGCAUGUGAGAGAAAACAGAUAAACAGAAACCACAGGGCUGUGUGGCCUUCCUCUUUGUACUUUCUUUCCUCUAUAUAUUAAGUGAAUUCAAACAUUCUUGAUUUCCAGUUAAGGAGAAAAUUCUUGUUCAGAAUUAGAAGACUCCAAAGCACUUUCUUUUUAAAAACUUUGAGAGAGAGGAUUUUUCCAUCCUGGACCAGGGAAGGAGACCCUCACUUCAUGGCUUGAGUAUCUGCUACAGCAGCAGAAGAUCUGUGUGAAACUUCUGCUAAUCAUACUGAGCUCUAGGAGUGCCGUUCUGCUGGUCGUAGAGAGGAGUAAAGUCACACCCAAAGGUCAAUGUCUGCAUUUUAUGUUUGCAUGUUGUCUUUCAUGAUAAGAAAAAUUUUGUCUCUUGUUUAUACCGUGUUUGUCUCCGUUUAUGAUUCAUUUUGAAAAUCUGUUGGUUGACAUCAUGACAAACCCUGCGUUUUUUUAUAGGUGAAGCUGAGGAGUACAUGAAACUUAAAUUAACCUUUGCAGAUUUUGAUAAAUCAAGCUUGACAAUAGAGGAUUUAAUUCUGUAUUGAGGAAAAAAGCGAAGACAUUUCAUAAACAAAAUAGGGAUUUCAUAAUGUAUGCUGCUUAUUUUAUAACAGUGUAUGUGCACAUAUGCAAGCGCAGUGGCUGUCUGAUAAGAACUGGAUUUGAAUCCUCAAAUACUUGAUUGCCUAUAAAUUUAAGGAAAUACAUGGCAACAAAUUCAAAAUGUGGCCUUCUGGGUGAGAUAUGGCUAUUAGUGAAAGAAACCCACUUUUUAUCAGGAAUGAAAUUAAAAUUUUUAGAAACCACAAGUUUAAAAACCCAUCUCUAAAAUUUAGUGGAAUGUGUAAAAACUAAUGAAUGCUUUAAUUUAUAGUAAACAAUAAUUAUAUUGGCCUCUCAAACACCAUUCUGAGUUUAAGUGGCUUAGAAAGUUGAUUUAUUAUUGCAUCAGGUGUUAAAAGAUGACACUAGUGAUUGCGUUUUGUUUCGCUCCAAACUCUUCUGGCUUGUUUGUUUUUCUUCUAAACGUUUUUUUUUUGGCUCACAUUUAGUGUGUUGAGUUUACUACUAAAUAAUCUACCAUUCUUCUACAGGAAUGGAAAAAGAGUUGGGACCUGGUGGGAAAUUAUCUUUUGGCCACACUUAAUAUACAAAGUCUAGUAACAAUCACUCCCGGAAAUUUCUUUAUCUCUGUUACAUUUGCAUUCAAUGGAAUCUGACUUUAAUGAUUAAAAAUGUCAGGGUAUGGUCUACACCAGUUUCUAAAAAGAGAUUCUCAUUGUCUUUGGUGACAAUCAAGUGGGUAGGAUGCUACAAAUCCCCCCCCCAACCCCCCCGACCCAAAACUCUUUGCCAUAUUGUUACUUAGUUGCUUAAAAAGCACAUUAUGUGUUUAAAUCAUUCUCCUGACUCUUCAGCAGGAAACAAUUCUUAAAUUUAGGAAAAUUUACCAAAGCUAAGGGGAAGGGCUUUCCAUGCCCCCUCCCCACCUAAACUCUGAUUAAAAGUUAGUGAGUUAAUGUCACUUAAUUACUUGGGUGCUUCUUUUUUGUCUUGUCUGUGGCUGCUUAAGUCUGAUGGCUCCUACAUAACCCAGCGAACUCGCACCCGAGCUGACACACGAUGGAAAUAGAACUGAAUAAUAAUUAACACUAUUUUCCAGUAGGGUAGGACAAUUGUUAUUUAAAACAUAGUCCCUAUAGCUUUAUUUAAACGUAUCUAGUUAAGGUUAAUUUGGCAUUUAAAGUAGUAAAUCAGGAACAUUCUCCUAACUUGGAUUUUCUUGGGAAAUGCACUAAACAGGACAAUUAUUCCUGAAAACCUAGUGACCUUCACAGGAACAUGGCGGGACCUGUGACACUAAGUAAGCUUCAGUGAAAACUGUUCACGGUCGUAACCGUAGAAGUGUUGCCAAAUCUGUUUCCAUACUCUCUUUGAUCAUCAUCAAACAUUCUCAAAUGUAGGCAAUGCUAACACUAAUUAUAGAAAUUAAGAAAAUGUGGGCUCCUGUUUGUAACUAAACGGACGUGGGGAGGUGCACCUCCUGUCACUGAGGGGUGCCUUUCAUGGACAGUGAUGCUUUGCUUUGAAUGGAGAGGGCGAGGAACCUUGACUUACAGUGACUAUCUAAGGUUGUGAUAAAUAUGGCAUUUCAGGUUUUUUUCUUGGAUUUCCCAUUAAAAAUAGUCUUGUAUCUUGCAAA